AGAAUCAACGCUGGCGGCGUGCCUAACACAUGCAAGUCGCACGAGAACGUGGAGCAAUCCAUUAGUACAGUGGCGCACGGGUGAGUAACACGUGACUAACCUACCUUCGAGUGGGGAAUAACCUCGGGAAACCGGGGCUAAUACCGCAUAACACUUACGAGUCAAAGCAGCAAUGCGCUUGAAGAGGGGGUCGCGGCCGAUUAGUUAGUUGGCGGGGUAAUGGCCCACCAAGACAAUGAUCGGUA
rnacentral:rRNA from 1 species